CUUCAUUUUAAGCUGAACCUCUUUUGAUCCUGUAACCGACUUAGUUAAGGAGCGUAAGGAAGAGCUUAGCGGGUAGAAAGUUAUAGUUGGGCAGAUUCAAGUUACACUGUUGAACGUUCACUGCUAUCCAGAUGGUGGUGCAUCCCUUGAUCAAAUGCUGGAAGAAGAAAAUUUGGAUGAAGCAAAUCGGGUGGAGGUUGAAGUGAAGGCCGAACAGUAGCUCGUUCGGUUUUUAGUUAGUUUAUUUAGGAUGGCGGUCCGCUUGUGAGCGAGCGCCCUUUUGCUGGAUGUAACUACUUGGACGUUCGGUAUUUUAUUUUGUAAACCGUUCGUCCUCAUUGUUUUGUAAACGCUCGUAACUUAUGUUUGCAUGUAAGGCCGUUCGGCCAUUCGCGAAUUUAACCCCUCUUAUUUAAGGACUGUUUCUCCAUACUAUUA